rnacentral:tRNA from 1 species
GGAGAGGUGGCAGAGUGGUCUAAUGCGCGGGUUUGCUAAAUCCGUGAGCUCGCAAGGGCUCCGCAGGUUCAAAUCCUGUCCUCUCCG